rnacentral:rRNA from 1 species
UACGGAGGGGACUAGCGUUGUUCGGAAUUACUGGGCGUAAAGCGCACGUAGGCGGAUUUGUAAGUCAGGGGUGAAAUCCCGGGGCUCAACCUCGGAACUGCCUUUGAUACUGCAAAUCUCGAGUCCGGAAGAGGUGAGUGGAAUUCCUAGUGUAGCGGUGAAAUGCGUAGAUAUCAGGAGGAACACCAAUUGCGAAGGCAGCUCGCUGGGACGUUACUGACGCUGAGACGCGAAAGCGUGGGGAGCAAACAGG